UUAAGGAGGCUCGCGGGUAUAAAAUUUUCAGAAAAAAAAUACAUUUAUUUUUCAUUACAAAUUUUAUUUAUUACCUUUAGUAGUUGUUACUUUAUCAAAUGGUACAAAAAUCUUUCCAAAAAACCAAUUUGUGUUGGCCCUAGGUGACUUUUAAAAUGUAGAUAUCAUUGAAAAAGCUCCAAAUUAUCUCCCUUUGGUGCAAAAAUGCCAUUUUUUUGGCAUUAAAAUUGAAAUAUCUUUUUUAACUCAUCGGUGACCUAUAUUUUUUAUUGUUGUUUUCGAAUAAGUUGUACAUAAACUAAAUAAUUGUAAAAUUUAAGCGAUUUCUGUAAUUUAGUUCUUUUUUUAUUUCGAUAUUACUUCUGUUUCUCCUAUUAGUUCAACAGAAAAAAAGGACAUUAACAAAAAUGUAUGCUUCUUUCGAUGACAGAUUGUGACCGUAAAUGAACGGUGACCCCAUUUUUUUAUUUCAUUUUUCUUUUAAGUAUAAGAUAAAGUUCAUUUAUAGAAAAAUAUAGCGAAGUCCUAUAUUAAAUAAAAAUUUCGAUUUAGACCCGCGAGCCCCCUUAAAAGUAUUUAUCUUCAUUUU
rnacentral:lncRNA from 1 species